CUUCCCAGUGGUUUACUGCUCUAGUCUUGCAAUGAUCUGAGCAGUUAUUACACAUGGGAUAGAGUGACAUGGGGCCUUUGUAUACGGGGGUGAAGUAACCUUUUCAUCCCCUCUGCAUGGGCUCCACAUCC